rnacentral:lncRNA from 1 species
GGUCACAUGAGGUCUCUGUGAGGUCAGAGUGGUCUCUUUGAUGUCAGGGAGGUGUCUUUGAGGUCAGGGAGGUGUCUUUGUGAUCAGAGAGGUCUCUUUGUGCUCACUUGAUGUCUCUGAGUUCAGUGGAGGUCUCUGAUGCCACUGAGGUCUCUGAGGUCAGGGAGGUCUCUGUGAGCUCAGGGGAGGUAUCUGUGCAGUCAGGGGAGGUCUUUUAGGUCAGGGAGUUCUCUUUUAGGUCAGGGGAGCUCUCUCUGAGGUCAAAGUGGUCUAUCUGAGUUCGCAGGAGGUCUCUGCUAGCCCAGAGGACAUCACUGUGAGGUGAUGUGAGGUCUCUGUGUCAUCUGAGGGAAUCUCUGUGAGUUGUGGGGAGGUCUCUGUGAGGUCAAAGGGUUUCUCAGUGAAGUCACGGGAGGUCUUUGUGAGGGCACAGUUGGUCUCUGUGAGGUUAGGGAGGUCUCUUGAUGUGAGAUGGGGUCUCAGCAAGGUCAUGGAGGUCUCUGUGAGAUCAGGGGAUGUCUCCGUGUGUCAGAGUGGGUCAUCAUCAGGGCAAGGGAGGUAUGUGUAUGGUCAGAGGGGCUAUCUGCAAGGUCAGAGGAGGCCUCAGUGAAGUCAGAGUGCUCUCUGUGAGGUCAGGGGAGGUCUCUGUGUGGUCAGAGCAGGCCUCUGUGAGAUCAAGGAGGUCUCUGUGAGGUCAGGGGGGUCUCUGGUUAGAGGGGGUCACUGUGAGGUCAGGAAGGACUUUGUGAUGUCAAAGGUGGUUCCUGUGAUGUCAGAGGAAGUCUCUGUGGGGUCUCUUUGAGGUCAGGGUGUGUCUUUAUGAAACCAGAGGAUGAGUUUGUGAGGUCAGAUGGCAUCUCUUUGAGAACAGAGGAGGUCUCUGUGAGGCCAAAUGGGGUCUCUGUGAAGUCAGGGGAGGUCCCUGUGAGGUCACAGUAGGUCUCUGAGGUCAGCUAAUGUCUCUUUGAUGUCAGAGGAAGUCUUUGUGAUUUCAGAGGAGUUCUCUGUGUGGUCACAGGAGGUCUCUAUGAGAUCAGGGAUGUCUCUGGGGUCAGGGAGGUCUUUGAGUUCAGGGGAGGAAUCUAUGAUGUCAGGGGAUGUUUCUGUGUCAUCACCGGGGUUCUCUUUGAGGUCAGAGAAGGGGUCACUGUAGUCAGAGGUGGUCUCUGAGGUCACUUGACAUCUCUAUGAGAUCAGAUGGGGUGUCUGUGAUGUUGGACAUCUCUGUGAGGUCAGGGGGAUGUCUCUGUGAGGUCAGAGGGGGUCUCUAUGAGGUCAGCGGAGGAUGUGACAUCAGAGUAGGUCUCUUUGAGGUCAUAGGAGGGCCCUUUGAGGACAGAAGGGGGUCUCUGUGAGGUCUUGGUAGGUCUCUGUGAGGUGAGAGGGUUUCUUUGUGAAGUCAGGGGAGAUCCAGGUGAGGUCAGAUGGGGUGUCUCUGAGGUCAGGCGAGGGCUCUGUGAGGUCAGGAGAGGUCUCUCUGAGUUCAGAGGGCAUCUCUUAGAUUAGGGGAGGUCUCUGUGAGGUAUGAAGAUCCCUCUCCCCACCACUGCCAAGACAAUCAACCUCCCUUGGGACACAGGGCAUGGCUAGCAAGGACCCAGAUGAAGCAGGCACUACCUCCCAUGUCGGGCACAUGACACACCCAGGGGCUCCCUCCCCCAGCAGGGCCAAUGACACCUCCCAGAAAACCUUCAGGACUCAGGGCCCUUUCCUCUGUCCUUGCCCCACUGACAGAGUCUUGGCCCAAAUAAGUGGGACAGUCAGCCUCCUUUGGGUAUAUCAGGCAAGCCCUAGGGUGGUCUCCCUCCGCCCCUCCUCGGUGGACUCAGGGAGAGGGCCAGGAGAGGGCUUCUCUCAGCCCUUCUUGUCAGGUAUCUCCCAAGGGGAGCACCCUAGGCGGAAGGAAUGCGGGCUUUCCUCAGUCCAGAGUGGAGGAUGGGAACCGCUGAUGGAAGAGCAUGCCUGUGGGUUUCCCCUUCGUUCCCUGGGUGGCAUGCCUGUGCUGCCACACUCCUUUGGCAAGCCUUUCUCAGCCUUCUGACUUGACACAGCUUUCCCAACUCCUGGGGAAGAAAGGUUCAUUUGUGAUGAGAGGCUGUGUUUUUUCCAGCAAUAAGUGAGGAUGGGGAUGAACCAGCUGACACAGGGAGAGUCUUGCUGCCCUUCUGGGUCAGUUGGGAGCAAACAGGGCCAGAAAACCUCUUCCAAGGAGGAAAGCAGCUACCUGAGCAGAGAGGGGAAGGGGUCAUGAGAAGCCCUGAAGGAAAUGGGAACCCGAGUUCCCUGGCAGCUGCACGGGGCCUUCGCCAGAGGGUGCCCCCACCCCGCCAGAUCCCCCGGACCCAGUGCGGGGCUCCCAGCGAGGCCAGAGGCCGGACCCCUCCCUCCCACCCGUGCAUGCACAGUGGGAGGAAUGGUCCUCAGGCCAGGGAGCAGGGCUCCCACAGUCGUGAGAGUCAGUCAGAACCGUAGGUCAGGUCGGGGAGGUAGAGAGGCCAUGGGUGCACCUGCCCUCCUCUCCUCAGGUCCCCAAGAUUCUGGAUGCCCAGGUGGCAGCCGACGAAGCCAAUGUCCAGCCGUCCCUACAGGUUUUUCUCCCACCGCUGCCCUGCAAGGCGCAGGGAAGGCCAGACAGGGUGCUGAAAGGCAGUUUCCAGGCGUCAUCCGUGGCCUCCAACCUGGAUCUGGGUGCAGGAGGAUAGCAUCCGACGGGGAAGGCGGGGCAUGACAAAAUCCGUGCGGAAGAUCCCCGAGGGCCGCUCCUGGAGACGAUGAUGCUGGCCACCACCCAUCUCGACCUUGAGGCGGCUCCCUCCCCCAGACUUGGCCAGAGGUGGCCCGUUCCAUAAGGCCACCACCCAGGGAUCUCUGACUCUCUCAGGGAAACCCAGGCAACUGUGGAAUGCCCCCUUCACCGCAGGCAUCCCUCAGGCCAAGGCCAAGACUAAGUCUGGCAUCCUCCCUGGGGAGCCCAGGCAGGGCACUAAGGACCCAGGUGUGGCGGGCAGCAGCUCCCAGGUCGGGCACACCAGAAUUCCAGCAGCUUCUACCUCUGAUAGAGCUGAUGACCCUUCACGGAGAACUUUCUGGACCCAGGGCUCUUUCCUUCCUAGCAGUCCCAUGGACACCAUCUUGGCUCGAGGGGCUGCGUUGGCUGGCCCUCUUUGGGAAAGUCGGCAAGCUAUGGGGUUCUCCUCUCCCUCUGCCCCAGAGUGGCAUGUGGGUGGGUCCUCCCAGUGCAAGCACUUACCUGGGGGGAUGCCCCAUCCGUUACCUAGGUGGCCAGUCUGCUGUGCCGCUCUUCUUCGCAAGGAGCUCCAGGCCUUCUGACAGACUAGGCACAGUCUUCCCUCCUCCUGGGGUAGAAAUGUUCAAAGGUGAACUAGGGUCCACCUUUCCUUCUCCUGUUUCUCACCUCCCCUUCUGACCUUCGGCUCAGGUGGCUGCUGGCCUUCUCAUGGGGGAGGCCUUCUGACCCUGUUUUCCAACAACAACUAGGGGAGGACACCCAGGCUGUCUCUCUGCCAGCUGGCUCAUUCCAGGCCUCAGUGACUGGUAGAAAAAUCACAGCCCCACAUCACAAAUGAACCCUUUGACUCCAGGAGGAGGAAAGGCCCUGUCUAUUCAGAAGUCCCAGAAUGCCUUGCUCAGUAGUGUGGCAAGGCAGACAGGCCACCUAGGGAGCAAACCAGGAGCCCUCCAUGCGAGUUCUUCCCUCAGCAGGACUCACCCUCAGCUCCAGGAGUCAGACAAGCCUGAUGUCCUGCUGCCUGGGGCACUACCCUUUCCAGAAAUCCUAGAAUAAGGGCGGAGAGACACCUUCUCCUGGCUCUUUCCCUGAGUGCACAGCCACAGGGCAGAGGGGGAGGCGCACUCUGGCUUGCCUGCUUUCCUUCAGCUGUGUUUCACAUCCCCUUCCCCCGUUCCACUCAGGUCACUGCUGCCUCCUUGGAAGAGAUUUUCCAGCCCUGUUUGCUCACAUCUGACCCAGAAGGGCAGCAAGACUCUCCCUGUGCCAGCUGGUUCAUCCCCAUCCUCACUUAUUGCUGGAAAAAACACAGCCUCUCAUCACGAAUGAACCUUUCUUCCCCAGGAGUUGGAAAGGCUGUGUCAAGUCAGAAGGCUGAGAAAGGCUUGCCAAAGGAGUGUGGCAGCACAGGCAUGCCACCCAGGGAACGAAGGGGAAACCCACAGGCAUGCUCUCCUAUCAGCGGUUCCCACCCUCCACUCUGGACUGAGGAAAGCCUGCAUUGCUGCUGCCUAGGGUGCUCCCCUUGGGAGAUACCUGACAAGAAGGGCUGAGAGAAGCCCUCUCCUGGCCCACUCCCUGAGUCUACUGAGGAGGGGCAGAGGGAGACCGCCCUAGGGCUUGCCUGAUAUACCCAAAGGAGGCUGACUGUCCCACUCAUUUGGGCCAAGACUCUGUCAGUGGGGCAAGGACAGAGGAAAGGGCCCUGAGUCCUGAAGGUUUUCUGGGAGGUGUCAUUGCCCCUGUUUUGGGAGGAAGCUCCUGUGCAUGUCAUGUGCCUGACAUGGGAGUUUUCAAACUGUUCCUGGAUGAGACACAGAGAAGGACGGGUGGCAGCUGAGCUCCUGACAAUGACACAACAGUUUCCAACCACUAGGUACUUUACCUCCAACAUGGGACACGACAACCAGCAAUGGUUCUUCCUGGCACAGAGGGACAUUCAGCUUGAAAUAGUCCACAUACCGGUGUGGCACAUCUUGGAGCAGCCUGCCCUGAACCCCAUCAAUAGGAACCAAUCAUAUAAAAGAUCCAAGAAGAAGCUGAAUGAGAAACAUGUCAGAUUUGUGGGAGAAAAAACUAUGAAACAACAAAAAAGUGUAUAAAAUAGUACAAAAUAAAAUGAGUAUUAUUCCUAGGUAACUAGGAAGAGAAUGUUAUUGUGAGUGUGAAUUGUUUCUAAAUUAAUGUUAGUUGAAUGCAAUUCCCAAAAAAAGCACUUUUCCUGACUCUUCACCAGCUAAUACUAAACUACAUAUGGAAGAGUGAAAGAGCAAGGAGAACAAAGAAUUCUUGGAGUGAACAAAAAUAAGAGGGUCCUGCAAUACAAGUUAUGAAAAAAUAUUCUAAGAUUAUUAUUGUAUUGGUACAAGAAUGUGUGUUAAGAUCUACAAGACAUACUAUUGAGUCAAAAAAAAUAAGCUUCAGAGUAAAUUCUGUACACAAAUGUUAAUCACGCAAUCAAAAGUCAAAAAAAAUUUAAGGAUAUGCAUGUGCUUAUAAAACUGAUCUGAAGGAUCAGUGUUUGUGCUUGGGAGUGCAUCUGGGAAAGAAACUAGUGGCACUUUCUGGCUCCUCUAAGCUUUGGAGUUACUCAGGGCUCUGACCUGGACCCCUUCUUUCUCUGUCUCCAUACUUGGUCUAGCUCACCUCACCCAGUCAGAUGGUUGGCUGUGUGCAUUAGCUAUGUGCUAAUGAUGUCCAAAUCCACAUCUCCAGCUUUGGAGCUGCAGACCCAUCCAACUAACCAUUUCAUUGUCUCCAAGGAGGUCAAAUAUGUGUUUCCAAUGUAAUAUGAGAAAAACAACUCAAGAUUCCUCCCAUGCCCAACUUACUUCUCUCCGGUAAUUUUCAUCUCAGCAGACGGUACCACAAUCCAUGAAAAUACAGAUAGUAUCCAUGGUUCUUCUAUCUCCCUCGUCCACCACAUCUACUCAAUAUAUCUCACCUACUAAAUCUGCAAAAUGACCACGUCCCUCUAAUGCCAACACUGCCAGGCUAGUCCCAGGGACUGUCAUAUCUCCCUAAAAAACUGCAAAGACAUCUUCUGACCUCUCUGCUUCCACUCUUCUACAUCUACUGUCCUCAAUGGGUGGCACAAUUGUUUAAAAACAUCAGUAUAACUAUUUCACCUACCCUUUUAAACUCAUGCAAAUGGACUUUUGUUUCUGGCAAUAAGAGGGACUAGAUUUCUUCUGAGAUGUUUCCCAUUGUAUUUUCCUAAGUGAUGAUACAGAAAAAAAAUUAAUUUACUACUCUGAUGAUACAAGCAAAGAAAAUCCAGAGAAGCCAGAAAUUAGGAGACAGUGUGAAUCCAGAAAUAUAUUUCAGAAUUGACUCUGGGUCUUGGGAGCAAUUCUGGUCUAUGCAAGCUGAGAGGCAGGCAUUUUGUGUGUGUGGUAAAAUAUACAUAACAUAAAAUUCACCAUAUUUAAGUAUACAGUUCAGUGGCAUUAUAUACAUUCACCUUGUUGUGCAAUCAUCACCACCAUCCAUCUCCAGAACUUUCACCACUCAAACUGAAACUCUGUAUCAAUUAAACACUGACUCUCCAUUCCCUCCUCCCCCAGCCUCUGGUAACUACUGUUCUACUUUCUGUCUCUGUGAAUUUGACUAUUCUAGGUACCUCAUAUUAAUGGAAUCAAGCAGUAUUUGUCCUUUUGUGUCUGGCUUCUUUCACUUAACAUAAUGUCUUCAAGGUUCAUCCAUGUUUUAGCAUGUAUCAGAAUUUCCUUUCUUUUUAAGACUGGAUAAUAUUCCAUUUUAUGUACUGUUGAUUUAAGAAAAUAAAAAAGGGGGUUAUUCAGGAAUAGCAGAGGAAUUACAAUUCAGGACAAGCAAACGAUUGCAAAAGACAUAGGCAAGUCCAGCACACAAAGGAGAGGAAUGCUAUUUUAUAGAGAAAGAGGAGUGAUUUGGGAGGGUUUGAUUUGAACAAAAGUCCAUUGGUGGAAAGCGAGAGUUCACAGUGAUGAUUUCUCAUUGGCUGAGUUGCUGGGGUAGUCAAUUUCUUGUUGGGAAUGCAAUGGACAUCUUUUCCUGUUGGGGUCUGUAAUUGAUGAUUCUUCUUGUAAUUGAUAUCAAGUGGUAGCACAUGAGGGCUGCCCCUUCUGGCCUCCCAAUAUCAUUUCAAAUGAGGUUUCCUUUAUUCUGUUUCACAGUAUAUACAGUAUUUUAUUUAUCCAUUCAUCCAUCAAUGGACACGGGUUGUUUCAAUCUUUUGGCUAUUGUGAAUAAUGGGGCUGUGAACAUUGGUGUACAAAACUCUAUUCGAGUCCCUGCUUUCAAUUCUUUAUAUGUAGAUAGAUAGAUAGAUAGAUGGAUCUCCAGAAGUGGGGUUGCCGGAUCAUAUGAGAGUUCUAUGUUUAACUUUUUGAGGAACCCCUACAUUGUUUUCCACAGCAGCUGCACCUUUUCACAUACCCACCAGCAGUGCACAAGGGUUCCAAUUUCUCCACAACCUUGCCAACACUUGUUUUCUGUUUUUUGCACAGUAGUCAUCCUAGGGAAGUAGUAACUCAUUGUGAUUUUGAUUUAUAUCCCCUUAAAGAGUAGUAACUGUUGAACAUCUUUUCAUGUGCUUAUUGGCCAUUUGUAUAUCUUCUUUGGAGAAAAGCCUAUUUAAGUUUUCUGCCGAUUUUUAACCUUUUGUUGUUGUUGUUGGGUUUUAGUAGUUCUCUAUAUAUUCUGGAUAUUAAUUCCUUAUCAUAUAUGUGAUUUACAAAUAUUUUCUCCUAUUCUGUGGGUGAGAGGCAGGCAUUUUACAGGCUGUGUCCACAAGGCAGGAAAUAGACCAAUGUGGAGAAAGGAUCAGACCUUUCUUGCAUGAAGUCAGGAACCCAGUGGAUGAGCCAGAAAAAUCUCGAUCCAGAGAAGGAGGAUUAGGAAUUCUUCCUUUACCAUUUUUAUUCACCAAAAGGAAUAAAAUAAAACCCAACUGUCUCCCACUUCCCAUAUAACAAACUCACUCUUAGUUUUAGGUUAGAAUUAACACUACCUUUGUGGACUAAAAAUGUUAGUUUACGUGUACCAAAUUUGAAGAUGUCUAACAGAAAACAUAAAAUUUAUUCUACAGGAAUGUACUUUAAAACAAGUUUUUUCUAUUGAAAAAACUUUUAAGGAAACAAUCCAAAGCCGGUCAAUAUGUUAAUAAAAGAUGAGAACAAAAAAAGGAAAAACAAAGCAGAUCCUCAAGACGGAAAAUUGAAAAUGACAAAAUCUAUAUAUUUACUGUCUCAUUUUCAAAAGACUGUAUUGACGUCAAGAUGAAAGAUUACCAAAAAGGUACAAUUGAAAAGAACCAAAUAAAACUUGUAGAAUUGACACAUCGCUGAAAUUAUAAACUCAGCUAGUGGGCUAAGCACAUACAAAAGAAUUAAUGAACUGGAAGCCAGAUUUGAAGAUAUUAUCAACUGUGCCGCAGGGAUAAAAAGAUGGAAAAUGUUAGUGUAAAACUCUCCGUGGAAUUUCAAAGCACUUAUAAACUUGUGCUCACUUCCAAGGCCUAUUGGGGUGGGAAUCUUUCUUUUCUUCCUCAUUGACCUCAUUUGGUAGCAUCUUCCCCAUACCUUAUAAGCUUCAUUCACUCUUGUGGAACAUGUUGCAACAGUUAACUUUAUGUGUCAACUUGAUUGGGCCACAGGGUGCCCCAUUUGGGUGAACAUUAUUCUGGGUGUGACUAUGAGGAUAUUUUGGGAUGAGAUUAACAUCUGAACUGGUAUUGAGAAGAGUAGAUUGCCCUCCCUAAUGUGAGUGGGCCUCAUCCAAUCAAUUGAAGAUCAGAACAGAACAACAAGGCUGAGCAAGCGGGAAGUCCUUCUCUCUGUCUGGCUGUCUUCUCCUGUCUUGGUCACACAUAUGUGAGCCAAUUUCUUAUAGUCUCUUUCUCUGACAUCCUCUUCCUAUGUAUAUUUCCUACUGGUUCUGUUUCUCAAGAGAACUCUGAUUAAUACACACGCAAUGUCCCUAUCCUGACUUAGUGCCAUUGAUUCAGUUCUUUCUCUACCUUGGGACAUUUUUCCUGAUCUUGGCCUGACUGAUUAUUCUUGCUAUGAAGAUUUCAGUUAGGGCACCUCAGAGAGGUCUAAAGUUACCAUGUCACCAAUUGCUGUCCCUUCACAGCUCAGCACAGCGGCUAUCUGAUCCAUCCUUAUUUGUGUAUUGAUCCCUUGCUUUGUCAUGGUCUCCCUCCCUCAACUAGAAUGUAAGCUCACAUAGCAGGCCCUGGAGCUCUUAUUCAUUUCUCUCCAUCAUGGAACUGAACUGUUCCACAUUGGAGUGAAUGACAUUUGUCCUUUUGGUUGUGUGUGCCCAAAAUAAAGGCGGGUCCUUGACAACCCUGCUCUCUCACCCACACCUCUGCUCCCUCUCCAUCACAUCCCCUGUGAUCUCCUCUGGAGAGCUGUGUUGUCUGGUCAUGUCUUCAGGGAAGAUUUUACCUGACCUCCAGAAUAAUUCUAAUCCCUUUAGUUCAUGCUUUCAGGACAGCAGUUUCUGUUCUGUAUAAAAGGAGAUGGGAGAAGCAAGUUUUAAAAUGAGAGAAUUCAAUACUAUAUUAGAGCUACAAGUCACAAAGGGGUAUUAGGCAUUACAUAGCAAGGAUGAAAAGAGCAAAUUAACAAUCAAAUGGUGAGUGGGAGGGGGCAGAAAAUAUAUCAUGCCAUUCCUUUCUAUCUUGUAAGCUUUCUGCUGAAAAGUCAGCCGAUAACCUUACGGAGUUUCCUUUGUACGUCAUUUGUUGCCUUUCUCUUGUGGCUUUUAGGAUUCUCUCUGUCUCUUUAACUUUGGACAUUUUAAUUAUGUGUCUUCGUGUGGGCCUGUUUGGGUUUAUCUUGUUUGGUGAUCUCUGUGCUUCCCAUACAUGGAUGUCUGUUUCCUUCCUUAGGUUAGGAAAGUAUUCAGCUAUCGUUUCUUCAAAUAGAUUCUCUGUCCCUUUGUCUCUCUCUUCUCCUUCUGGGACACCUAUAAUAUGGAUGUUAGUGCACUUGAUGUUGUCCCAGAGGUCCCUUAGACCGUUCUUGUUCUUUUUAAUUCUUUUUUCUGUCAUCUGUUCAGCUUGGGUGAUUUCCUCUAUUCUUUUUUCUGUCAUCUGUUCAGCUUGGGUGAUUUCCUCUAUUCUUUGGUCCAGCUCGCUGAUCUGUUCUUCUGUAUCACCUACUCUACUAUUGAGUUCCUCUACUGAUUUUUUUGCUUCCAGUAUUGUAUUCUUCAUUUCUGAUUCAUUCUUUUUAUAUAUUUUCCAAUUCUUUGUUGAUAUUCUCACUGUAUUCAUCCAUUCUUCUCCCAAGAUCAGUGAGCAUCCUUAUGACUUUUUGCUUACAGUCUUUGUCAGGUAGAUUGUUUAUUUCUGUUUCAUUUAGUACUUUUUCUAGGGUUUUGCCUUGUUCCCUUGAUCAGAAUGUACUCCUUUGCUUCCUCAUUUUGCCUCUUUCUUAGCAUAUAUAGCUAAGUAUCAGGUGGGUCAGCUAUGUCUCAAGAUCUUGGAGAAGUGGCUUUAUGUAGGAGACACAUUUUCAGGCCCAGCAGUGUGCUUCCCUCUUGUCACCAGUUCCAAAUGUUCCAGGUGUGAACCUUGUGGGCUACAUGUGUAUUUCUGUUGUGGUGGUAGAGUUGCUUUUGCUGCAGGUGCCCAGGGAGCCUAGCCUGUCCCCCGGCCAGCUGGUUGUAAUGCUUAGCUGCAUGUGGCUGGUAUGGACCCUUCAAUCUGUUUACCAGGGUUGAGGAGCCCCCAGCACAGUUGGAUGCAAGAUGUAAUAGCGCACUCCUGUUGAAGUUUUCUGUUAAGUGGGUAGAUGCCCAGUGUGGCCGGUUGUGAGGCUCAGGUGCUUAAAACUGCUGCAGUCCUCUUGCUUGCACCGCUGAUGUCAGCUCUGUCAGGAUUGCAGCUGAGUGGGCCUGGCCCCAGGCACAGGACUACCCAAUUGUUUCAGGCCUUGGAAGGCGGUGCCAAUCCACUAUGUGGCUGUUUGAGAAGCACAGGUCUUCUACCUUGAUAAGCCCCACAGCCCACAUGUCCACACCCACUUUCAAGACAGUGCUGGCACAUAUACACAUCCAGAUCACCUGGAGCAGAUCCAGUUUCCCCACUGCAGAGGCCCACACACACUCAACCAAUGCCGCACACACUCCACCCACUCCUCAUGCCCACCCUGCCCUGCAGAGGUGGACCCACUCACGUGACUGCAGAAGACCCAGGCACACAGUCUAUGCAGGCCAAAAUGUUGCUUUAGGGCUUGCGGUUGGGUGGGGCCAGUCUCUAGGGUGGGCUGUCUGCCCUGGCUGAGCUGGAUUUAUUCUACACUCUAGUGGGUGGGGCAGACUCUGGGCUAACAGGCCAGGGGAAGAACUCCACUGGCAUCUGGAGCAUCUGUGUCAGCACACCUGUACUAGGUCAUAAUAAUGGCUACUGUCAAUGUCCCCGUCACUGGAGAGGUCUUACGUCUCACAGAGAUGCACCCAGAGCCUAUCAGGUGAGUCUCUUUUCACCAAAGGACUUUAUACCUUUCUUUCUGAAUUUAGGUUGCUUCCCAAAACAGGGAAGUUUGUGUGUGGGCCCUUUAAAAGCAGACUUUUUUGCCUCUUCUGUCCAGUAACUUUUCUAGUGGUAUUCCCCGUUGUAGUUAAUAGCCAACAACAUCAGAUAUUAUGACACUAUUUUCAGUUAUGCUAAAUGUAAAGGAUGCUUUAGGGGUAACAAUCCCCGUCAGGUCCCCCACUCCUCCAGGGAAGGCUGUACACCUUAGGACUGCUCCUAGCUAGCUGUGAAGCUCUGCAGCUCAGGAAGUUGGCUCUUUUUCUCUCAGACAGGAAAUUCUGGCUCUUCUGGCUCAGUCAGGAAAGUCUCAUGAAGCAGGGGUUCUUUUUAUCCACUUUUCAGUUCAAGUUGUAUCUUGGUUGUGUUUGUUGGAGGAGGAGAGUUCAAAGUCCCCCUACACCUCCAACAUGACCUCUCAAGCUGUGGCUCUUCCAGAUCAUCUUUGUAAGUGACUUUUAAUAGACAGCCAUUCAGUCUACACACAGGCUCUGAUCGCAUGUGAUGAAGGAAAACUAUUGCUGAGCUCAGCUUGCAAGGAGCUGGAAGUGACAUUUUCCCGGGAGAGCACUUAAGCAUUUCACUACAGCUGGGAGAAAAUAACUAUAACACGUUCAAGCAAAGUACAUUGUGCAGCAAAGCUCUGGCUUCUGGCUGUUUCAGAUCAUCUAGGUAAGUGCCUCACGUAUUGCAGUUCGUGGCCUUC